AAAGCGUGCGCAGGCGGUUUUGUAAGACUGUCGUGAAAUCCCCGGGCUCAACCUGGGAAUGGCGAUGGUGACUGCAAGGCUAGAGUUUGGCAGAGGGGGGGUAGAAUUCCACGUGUAGCAGUGAAAUGCGUAGAUAUGUGGAGGAACACCGAUGGCGAAGGCAGCCCCCUGGGUCAAAACUGACGCUCAUGCACGAAAGCGUGGGGAGCAAACAGGAUUAGAUACCCUGU
rnacentral:rRNA from 1 species